GAAAUGCGAUAAGUAAUGUGAAUUGCAGAAUUCAGUGAAUCAUCGAAUCUUUGAACGCACAUUGCGCCCGCCAGUAUUCUGGCGGGCAUGCCUGUUCGAGCGUCAUUACAACCCUCAGGCCCCCGGGCCUGGCGUUGGGGAUCGGCGGAAGCCCCCUGCGGGCACAACGCCGUCCCCCAAAUACAGUGGCGGUCCCGCCGCAGCUUCCAUUGCGUAGUAGCUAACACCUCGCAACUGGAGAGCGGCGCGGCCACGCCGUAAAACACCCAACUUCUGAAUGUUGACCUCGAAUCAGGUAGGAAGACCCGCAGAACUUAAGC
rnacentral:misc_RNA from 1 species